rnacentral:rRNA from 1 species
ACGGAGGGUGCAAGCGUUAAUCGGAAUUACUGGGCGUAAAGCGCUCGUAGGCGGUUUGUUAAGUCGGAUGUGAAAGCCCCGGGCUCAACCUGGGAACUGCAUUCGAUACUGGCAAACUAGAGUAUAGAAGAGGCAAGUGGAAUUCCAGGUGUAGCGGUGAAAUGCGUAGAUAUCUGGAGGAACAUCAGUGGCGAAGGCGACUUGCUGGUCUAAUACUGACGCUGAGGAGCGAAAGCGUGGGGAGCAAACGGG